rnacentral:rRNA from 1 species
AUUGAACGCCGGCGGCAUGCCUUACACAUGCAAGUCGAACGGUAACAGGGAGCUUGCUCCGCUGACGAGUGGCGAACGGGUGAGUAAUGUAUCGGAACGUACCUUUUAGUGGGGGAUAACGUAGCGAAAGUUACGCUAAUACCGCAUAUUCUCUGAGGAGGAAAGCAGGGGACCUUCGGGCCUUGCGCUAAUAGAGCGGCUGAUAUCAGAUUAGCUAGUUGGUGAGGUAAAGGCUCACCAAGGCGACGAUCUGUAGCGGGUCUGAGAGGAUGAUCCGCCACACUGGAACUGAGACACGGUCCAGACUCCUACGGGAGGCAGCAGUGGGGAAUUUUGGACAAUGGGGGCAACCCUGAUCCAGCCAUGCCGCGUGAGUGAAGAAGGCCUUCGGGUUGUAAAGCUCUUUCGGCCGGGAAAAAAUCGCAUGGGUUAAUACCCUGUGUGGAUGAUGGUACCGGAAUAAGAAGCACCGGCUAACUACGUUCCAGCCGCCGCCGUAA